CAGCUGCACAACAGGAAACACUCAUGGCCUCCCCGUCUUCCUGCACUGAGCAGCGCUGCCUUUUCUCCCUCCCUUCCCCUGUGGUGCGGCAGGCUCAGACCCACUUCCAGGUUGCACAGCUGUGUGCUGUGCCCGCCCUGUGCUGGGGCUGCCAGCUGCUCGCUGUCACUUCUGCGCUGGUGCCAGGUGUGGGGCAGCUUAUGUAGUGAUUUUCCCCUGGAGAAGAGAAUCCAGUUGUGUUGCAAUGGCUCGCUGCACAGAGCUUGUCACUGGAUGUGCCUCGGCUGGAAGGAGCAGGAUGGUCAGGCGAUGAGUUGCUGUGGGGAGGCAACUUGCAUAAUAUAGAGGACACGCUCCCAGGUGGGCAUGCAGGGAUCCUGGAAUGUGGCCCCGAUAUUGCUGAGUAAUGCUGAGCGUGAACGGCUGAAGAGACUGCUGUGCCCUGGUGGAGCAGGGAGGCUCUCUUCUUGCAGAGCAUCGGCAGGAAGCCUGCUUAACCCUCUUUAGCUGUGGCUUUAUGCUUGUAACCAAAACAGGGAUAUGAGUAAGAAGGGUUGUUGAGAAACACGAGCCUUUUGCAGCUGGCUGAGGGCAGAGCAUUUUGUCUCAUCAAAGGCAGCCCCCAAAAAAUUAAAGCACUGCAGAGUUCGUACAAGAGAAUUAAUUGGUUCAAUAUUCAGCUGUUAUCCUCUAAUGAAUGGGGUGCCGGGGGGUCACUUGUAAAAACGAAGUACAUAUGCACCAGUGAAUUUGCAUAUUGUGGUGUGAGACGAGAUGUUGAUUAGUCUAAAAUACAGCGUCCUGCAUUUGCAAGAUUGAAUUAACUUCGAAUGUAUCCAGUUCUGGUGCGGUUGCUUAUUUAUUUGGUUAAUGUUGCAGAGGCAUAUUAUUAGAGAGCGGCUUCAGUCUGCACUCUGUAAUAAGCAAGUUCUGAAUUUACCUCAUUAAUCUAUCGCGCUACCUAGCAAAAUAACAGUUGUUUUUAACAAGCUGGAGUUAUGUAACAUGAAUCAUGCAUGGCAAGAUGCUUGCAAGCAGGGGAAAGCAAGAUGUGCUAAGGAAUAACAGUAUUCAGCCUUCUGCAAGAUAGGAUAUGACUGGCUUUGGAAAUUAAACGCUGUGUGUUGUUAUUCUCGGCCUUACAGACAAGUUCCAGCUAUUCAUUAUGAGAAUGCGUCUUGAAACAAAGUCUUGAGAUGGGAAUGUUUAACAGACAGAAGGGUGAAUUUGCCCAGCCGUGUGCAGUCCUUGGAGGAUUUUUUUUGAUCUUAAAAGCUGUACCGAGAUGUUAAGCCUGGGAUAACCUUUUCCUUUGGUGACACGGAUACAAAAAUCACGUAACCAUAUUGGGAAAUAAAGCACUGAGAAUAAUAGCCUUUAGGAAGGGAAUGGCAAAGAUGGUGGUUUGGAAAAGGAAUGAUUUAAUGUUCAUGAAUUUCUUUUCAAAUCGUCCUUCUCACGUUAAGCAAAUCUUUCUGUAUUUUUUCAUACAUGGAUAAAAUUAAAGUGUAGAGAAGGACUGCUAACCGCUGUACUUUGAGAUUUUACUAAUAUUAGUAACAAAUAAGCAAAAAAAAAAAAAAGUGCUGAUAUUUAUGGUUUUCAUUUCUCUGUUACCAUACAUGCUUACAAACACAGUGGCUGAUUACGUGUCAGGGCAGAUAGCAGCAGAGAUGUUAGAAGAAGAAACAGUUACGUCUCCAAGUUGCUCCUGUAACUAGCGCCAUUGCUAGCACUCUGAACUUGGCGAACAAGGGCUGAACAAGCCUGGAUUUUCUCAACACGGAUUUUCUCUACAUAGAUUUUCUCACACAGAAGGUCACUCAGGUCACAGACAAAGAUGUUGAAAAAGCAUUAUAAAGAAGGGGGUUGUGUUGCUCUCAUUAUGUCCUUGUUUUCUAAACAAAUGCAGCGCAGCACCCCUCAGACGAAACUUGUCUUUUAGGAAAACUGAAGAGAAGUUUCAGUCUUAGAAUAACUUUAUCUUAUUGGAUUGACUUAGUUUUGUAUAGCUGUGCGUUAUUAGGAGAACAGUAGAGCCAAGUGUAGAAGUAGUGCUACAGAAGGACACCAACAUCUGGUGGGUGGAGAAGGACGCUCUCCUGAAUUUGCAUGAUUGUUAACUAAAUAUAAAGUUCAUCAAAUGAUUUCUAGUUGCUUUGACUCCAGUACUCUUUCCUUUUUACUCCAUAAUACUUUUUUGGCUAGUAGUAAUGUCCUUUCUGAAAAUCUAUGAUUUCCUCAAUGCAGGUGAAUAUUACGUAGAGGCAUCAAAUUAAAUUAUUGGCUUUUUUUUUUUUUUUUUUUUUUUUGCACACUAUCAAUAGUAGCAAGGUCGCCAUUCUAUGAUGUGACUAAUUAGGAAGAUUGAAGUGUCUUUUGUGGGAUCUUCCCUUGCUCUUUGGUGGGACGUGAGGGCUGCUCAAUGGCCAUGGUGUGAGGAGUGGGCAGCACAGGAGGGGCUGCCCUUGGUUUCUACUGGAAUUUCUGUUGAGAUCAGGGCAACGUGAAUGAGCAAAGCAGGGCAAACAGGUGGCUGCUGUGUGAAAGAAAAUACCACGAGUAACACUGCUGUGUAUGAGUGUGGUGGGGUAUCGGUGUGCGCACAAAGAUUGGCUUGUCGAGGAGCAGCUCUCACAUCCUGGGGUCCUUGAAAUGAUCGUCAGAGGUUAGUAGUCUUGGUCAGAAUGCUCUGCAGAAAGAUUUCUUGCCCUGGGAAUUGUUGUGCGCAGUUGUCUCAUUUUCCUUGCCUCUCUUGAAAGCCAAUGUUAUCUUGUCCAUUCAACCCCGUAAAGUAUCCCCAGGUUAUCAAGUUCUUCUCAUAUUGCAGCAAAACUUGAAAUAAUUACCAAUUCAGCUUCACUAUUUCUGUCAGCUUAAAAAAAAAAAAAAAAAAAAAAAAAGAAAAGAAAUUUAAUUUACACUAAUUACUCAGGACUUGAGAUGCUCAGCAUGAAAGUGGCUAGGUGCAAAAUAGGAUUAAAUAUGUAAAGGAGAAAAAAGCAUUGUGUGUUGCAUUUUUCCUAUUUAAUGCUCUGUUUGUAUGUCAUUACCAAGCCAUCUGCAAGCAGAAUUCUCCUAGCAGACUGAAGCAGCUCUUCAAGAAAAAAAUUAAAAAUAAGAACAGUCAGGCUGAUAAUUUAAAAACAAAGAUUUGGUGUGAACAGAUUAAGAUGGGAGAGUUGUACUGAAAUGUCAUUAUUGCAGGCUUACUUUCUCUUAACUGUGGUACUCUGUGGUCCCCAGUAUGAUCUGAGGAGCCAAGCAAUGGGCAUGCUUUCUCCAUAUUUUGUUGCUGAAACACGAACACUUUGCAUCCCCAAAACUUCUGUGCGUGUGUCUGUGUGUGUAGGGGGAAGGGGGAAGUCAUCCUCAAGGUAACACUGAAGGUUGCAUAAUGUAACAUCAGAGGUACAGGGACCGAGCUCCUCAUUGCAGCAACGAGUUUUAGUAUGGAUUUCACUGGAGAGCAUUAGUGUUGUUCCUGUAAUUGUUCUCAACUCUACCGCUUGUCCUGUGUGGAUGUGUAACAGCUGUGGCACAGUCAGAUCACAGUUCAUAAUGCUUCUGCUCUUUGGGGAAUGAGAAAUAAAAGCUUUUGUGCAGUCCCAGAUGAGAGUGGCCACAGAGGUGGGCUGAACGCACCGUCACUCCUGCUGAGGUGAGCGCAGUUCUGCACUGCUAUUGCCAUGGUACGCAUCUCUUUGGAAGCACCAGCACAACACAUAUUUGUGAUCCAGAGAGUUUGUCUCACCAUCCAGAAAUGCGUAUGUUCUCUUUCUUCACCUCAGCUGACCCUGGCUUUGAACCCUCCCAAACCUUGGAGAUGUUUAUAGCUGCGCUUUGUUUUGUGAAUGGAAUUUGUUUUUCUAAGUGCAGCAUGAAGAUUUGCUUUAUCUGCAUGGAGCAUGCUUGCUUGAGCAGUUGCUUUCCACAGUGUGGCAUUUGCAGAUUAAAAUCUUUUCAGCCUUGGUGGUGCCGAUUCAGUUCAUUCUGCAGCUAGUCCAUUUUGAUAGCAUGCUACAGUAAGGUGCCUGGCUGCUGCAGUGAGAAAGGGAAUUUUUUUUCAUUUCCUCUGAGGUGUAGAUUUGAAAUGAAACUAUUUUUUUAAGGUAAUCUGAAAACUAGAAUGACACUCCAUGCUUCAACGCGUGUUUCGUUUCACCUGUAAAACUACUUUUAAUUCUUGUGUUUGCACUUGGAACUUGAACGCUUUACACUGACACUAGAAAUGACAGCCCUGUGCAUAGAAUGUACGUUUUAUUUUAUUUUGGCAUAUUUUACUGUCCACCAGGUGUUGAUCAGAGAAUUUAGCAGUAUACAGCUGCUGUGAUGUAGUUACUGUAUGUAAUACUCUACCUAAGGAAACACGGUCUAGUGACUAGCUGGAUGGGAGGGGUUUGAUGCCCGCAGAUUCAGUUCCUGGUUCUGCUACACAGCUCAUGCGUUUGGGGUAAGGUUCACACCACCUUACACUGAUUUUCAUGUGAGUUAAAUUCAUAAAUACGAGUUUUGCACAAAAAUACCCUCGCUGCGCAAUAUUCUCUUUAUGUCAGUAACGCUUCCUCACCUGACUGAGAUGUCACGUAGGCAGAUGCUGUGUUCUGCUUUUGAUCCAUACAGAGCCAGUAGGUGCUCUGUACUAACACCAAUUGCAAGACUUGAACCUUUUGUGUUUUUUUGGUGUGCUUUUAAGUGGCCAUUCUCUGAGCGAUCAAUAAUUGCGCUACUUACCAUGAGUACACUGCUGUUAAAGACCAUACAGCAGUCAGGCUACAUGCAGUUUCAGGGCCCAGUUCUGUCUCCUUUGCUUGGGAGUGAAAACAGCCAGGCUAAAGCAGAAUCAGAGACUACGAUGCUGAGAAGGGCAACUUGUGUAGAUCUGGGUCCAAAUGUUAAAUGCCCUGUUUAGAAUAAGAAGGGGUACGUUUUUUCCUCCCAAACAAACUGGUAGAAUUCAAAGUGGAUGUUUGUAAUUUAAGAUAUUGUGUUGUGUUGAGUGUUAAACAGCAGUGUUGAAGAGUGCAGGGAAAAGAUAUUUCUGCUGUGGUAAGAACUAAUACGAGCAGUGCAGAAUGCCCUGGUAUUACCCUGGCUUUUUUUUUUUUUCCAACUUUGUGAAAUAUGCAUUUUGAAGUAUCUAGGCAGUUCGGAGAGUAACUGAACUGAGUAAAGUCUGGCAUAAGAUAGCAAGUGGGAACCCUAGAAAAUGUUUGUGGAUCUGUAGGGCACAGCAAUGCUUCCUGCCAGAGGAAGGCCCUAAGGACUCUCAUAGGCCUUGCCUGGAAGACUGUGUGGCAUCUGUGGCACGUAUGGGUCAUCAAGACAUCACAGGCAGCCCCAGAGCCACGUCUGUUCAUAGCAGACGAUGGUAUAGUCCUGAGCAGCCAUCAAGAUGCAGGGAAUGGGAGCAGGUGACCUCCAGACGUCCCCUCCAGCCUCAGCAUUGUGACCUGUCCCUCUGUGCCCAAAGACAGUGCAGUUACCUUGGCUUCUGACCUGGUUGGGAUGUUGUAGCAGAGCUCUGAGAAUAGCAAUUUGGGAAUCAGAGCUGGCUGUGGUGAGGAGUGCUUCAAAGUUAGUCUCUGCUAAGCUCUUUCAUCAGCAAUGCAUGCACCUCACUGAUGGACCUCUCUAGGAAACGUUGCUCAUCCCUGCUUCAUAACCAGACCUCGCAGCUUUUCACAGCUCUGCCCCCAGCUGCUUUGACUGGGUGAUGCCACAGGAUUGGGGCUGUGAAAGCAGCAGGGAGGGCUGUGCUAAUUUAGAUGAUUUAAAUAAUUGUGCUCUUGAUACUGCCCACUUCCUUCUGUUUUGCCAGUGACCCUUCUGGCAUAUUCAGUAGGAUGUGCUGCCCGCUGGCCGUCCUUUCUGCUCAUCUCAUCUCCUGCCUAGCAGUUCUUAUUGCUGGAAUGCUUCCUGCAUGCUGCAGCACCCAUCCUUCCCAGACAUCUCGUUGUGAGCUGCUUAGCAAAUGCAGAGAAUCCUGUGAUGGGCAGAAAACAUAGCAUAUAGACCCAGUGAAAAGGGGAGCCCACCCUGGGCCAAGUAUCUGCCAGGUGUACCUCAUGCUUUCUUCACAAAACCUUCAAGUGCAACUUUAAUUCCAGGCAGAUUCCUAAGUUGUAGUGAAAUCCCUGGGUCCUGCACAUGCUCUUUAAUAUAGGCGUACAUUGUGAAUAGAAACAGCUUAAUGAACUGGAGCCAGGGUGGGGAAUUUUGGGACUCCUGCUGUUCUGCUUACAGUGUUUUGCAGGAGAGUUUAAGGCUGAGGAAUGACACCAACUGGAUUCACAGAACAAUCUGCUCCCGUUUUCACGAACUCCAAAUUAUUUUCCUUCUCACAUGCAAAGUUGUACCAAGAGUUGCAUUUAAAAACCCAUCUGCUGUCCAUAUUAUAUCAAUAGAAAGAAGUCUAAAAUUUUUCUAAAAUAUUCCGGUUACUCACUCCAUACUGCUGUCAUCUGUCUUUCAACUACAAGCCAUUUCUUGUAGUUGCACUCAAAAUCUUCCCUCCACCAACAGAUGAAACUCUUAGUUGCUAAAAGUGCAAAACUGGGAACAGGAUGCUAGAAACUAGCAGUGCCUGCUUUUCAAACGUGUUUCUGAUAGUAUAAAAUACAUAAAUUGAUGCAAUAAUUUUUCCUUACUGAGUGUGGGAAAUAGUAAUAAAUUACUUUAAAAGUUUUCUCGUGUUUUUUUUUUUUCAUUAUGCUAAUAAUAUUUUGAAAUCUCAACAAUGUCUAUAAAUGUCUGAAUAUAAUUUUACAUGCAAAUAUGUAGUGUGUGAGAUGUAUGAUAAGCGCCGGGCACAGGGUGUUUGUAGGAAACAAACUGGUGCCUGCAGCAGCAGUUUGUUGUGGCUGUGCUGGAAUAACAGAUUCAAGGGAUCUUAUUUGUCAGUGCCUCACCUUGAGGGACCCAGCGGGAGGUGUAGGGGCUGGGUGGUUAUGAAGCGGCAGCUGUUGAGGUGGCAGCAGAUGUGCCUGACGAAGAGCCAGCUAGAGCGCUGCGAUCCACAGCCAUAGGUGAGCUGUCGAGCUGUGUGUUGCAGUGCCCAGACCUGCUUCCUUCCCACCUUUCUUUAGGGGUGAUUAGGUGCAGACUUCAGCUUUUAGUAGUGUUGCAUCUCCACGUGCCUAUUUUCUCUAGGGAUUCUGUGGUGUUUUACCAGUUAAUGGUGCUGUUUUUCCCUUGAGGAUGCUAAUGGGCCCUCUCUUGUCUGUUCAAGCACAAAUUGGGAUUGGAAGGAACUUCUGGCAACGGUGGUGCAGUUAAGCUUGCUAUGUCUGUUAAAUCUCUUUAGAGAAAUUAGUAGGGAAGAGACAGGUACAGGCAUGCCAUUACACACAAUGUGGUUGCAGAUCUCUUUUACUGAGGAAACGAGGCUACAAAAGAUAUCUUGUGAGGAAGACAGAAUGUAUUCCUUUGGGAAUACUUGCUGAAUAGGAAGCUCUGUAAAAAUGGCAAAAUGUUGGAACUGUGAGAUACAAGUGAUUUAUUAUUUUCUCCGUGAUAAUAUCUGAAGGUUUCUGUGAAGAUGUAGGCUUCCUAGACUUGCAUCUUAAGGCACGCCCUAUUUACAAUGUAAGUAUCUCACAAGAUUAGGAGCGGUAAGAAACAUUAUCAUGGGAAUCAAAGACAGGUGGUGAGAUGCCUUCCAGUGUCAGAUCUAAAACUCAAGGCAGCCGAGAGCGGAGUCCGUUCCUCCAUCCGCAUAAGGUAGCACUCCCAGCACCAGAUGUUACAUAGAGGUCAGCCUUGUGGCGCUGUGUGAGCCAUAAGCCCUACGCUAGACCUUCAGCAAACCUUGCACCAGUGAAGCUUUUGACAUAUUUGGAGUUUAUUACAUGUAUCUUUGCGCUGUGAUUCAGGCUUAAAUUUGUUUCAUUCUGAAGUUUAAAGGCCCCUUCUGACUUAAAGCACAUGGAUUUUUUUUUAAGAUUGAUGGAAUAAUGUUAGACGCUGCUAUUUUAAAAACUGUUGUUGCCUUGCAAAAGUGAAUUUCAUGUUUCUUUGUCUAAUAAUGUAUUCAGAGCACUUGGAAGGAAGUUUUGGAGUAUGGAGAUUUCUGCCCUGGGGAGGUAGUAUCCUGUGCUUUAGUUAGGUCAUGUCAGGCCAUUGUUUUGCUUUUCAUAUCAUAAAGAUCUUGUGUCUUUAUUCGCACUCAGCUGUGGACUUGAGUUUCCUGCAGAGAGUGAAAUAAUUAAGAACUAAUGCUAUGAAAUCGUAUGUCCUCCAUUUGUAGCUGGGUUUAAUUGAAGGCAAUUUUUAUAUACAUAGUAAUAAGUGAUGUAUAUAAGUAACAAGUAAUAUUUCUAUUUGUGGUGCUCAGUAUAGCUGAAACGCAGCCGGAUUGUUUUCUAUGUAAGAAAACAAACAGAGAGAUUCAAAGGUUUGUAGAACUUGGGUCUCUAUCCGCUGCCUAAAUUCAGCCCUGCCUGCCGGCUGCUGCUCUCCGCUUUGCCUCUGCUGGUAGAUCACGCCGGGACAGGGAUGGAGUUGGGCACAAUAGAUUUACUGGUCCAGAUAUGGCAGGGGAGUUGGCUGGGUAUGCUGGAGGGUUUGUCAGCAUAAGGAGCCAGUAAAGCGGGCUUAUGCAUGGGGUGCCAACGAAGGGUGUGCAGAACACAGAGCUUACUCUUAAAACCUGCUGUGGCUACGCAGAGUCGCGCAACCUUUAUAUGGAUCUGGUGAGGAAGGGCACUCCUGGCUUAAAUUGAGAGCUUACGUUACUGUGCAGUUGUGGCAUGUAAGGGAGCAGCAACUCUCGAGGGAUUGCUGCUAAUGGGAUGGGCAAAGCCUCUCUGCCUUGCCUGUUAAGUCUGGGUUGGUGCUAAUGCCAGGGCUGGGGCAUGAACCUGAGUGAUGUAAGUAGUAGCAUCCACAGUCACAGCCUGGGGUGAGCAUGUGCCUGCUUUGCACAUCAGCUGGAUUUCCAUCAGGAUUUCUAGCACUGACAGCAGGACACUUUUCACCAGAACCAAGUUCAUCAUCAAACAGAAGGAGGCAUGCAAAGGGCAGUCUUGUUAAGUUUCACAUGCAUGAAGCUUUUGCUUUGGAAUGUGUUGUUCCAUUUCCUCCAAGUCUCCCUCGGGGAAACACCUGAUUUGGGUUUAUCCUGACUCUCCAGUUGUUACAUGCUACCUCAAGAUUGCAGCCACAGCUUCCGCCUGCACCAUCCUCUCCCUGGCUUCCCGCUGGUGCUGGGUGCAGCACAGCGGGUUGCCAGCAGAAAGCAGCCCUGGCUGCCCAGCCAGGGGUGCAGACAGAAAGAAAUGGCACCUGCUGCACUGCACAUCGGGGACAGGCCUAGCUGGGAGGAGUUGGCAGAGAUGGUGCUGAGGCUGUCUUCAUGGAUGGGGCAACAUCACAAAGAGGUGCAACGUACAUUUGUAAGAAUAAAUGUGCAAAAUUGGUUCUUCUGGCUCCUCUUAUUGCAGACCAUCCUUUGCUGUGCAGAGGAUGUGCCCGUUGCGAGCUCUGAGCCGCCCUCAGCAGACGCUCUGUUACACUGUAGGUGCACAUCUGUGAUCUCAUCUUGAAAAAUACGACUUUACCUUCCACUUACCCUUCUGGAGACGGCUUGUCAGAGCAACAUGGUACCGCAAACUUAUCCUGCUUAAUGUCAGCUAAUUAAAUUCACUUUUGAAUAUAGUACUAAGCCAAUUUAAUUCUGUCUCUCAGAGCCUGCAGAGACGCUUGUGACUCUCGGAGGAGUUCUGUCUCUGAUUAGUGAUCAGAUCUCUUUGUGCCACUUCAGACUGUCUCUGUCUGUCUUUGUGUCUUUCACAGUGUGUUCUUAGGGGGCUGGGUGUUUUCCCCCUACUUUCACAGCCCCAACACGUGCCGUCAUGUCUAACAGCAUACUCCUUUUAAUGACAUUUGUUCUCUGAUACGAAACUUUCAUGGCUGUUGCUGGAAGAGAUAUAGGAUUUCUUGUGAAAUGCUCUGGAUGUUAGGUCUUGAUUUAGGAGGCUGUUUUUCGGAAGCGCUGAUCUCUGCAAGGACAGGGAUGUGGGUGACCUUCUUGCGCCGUGCUGGUGUCCCAGCCUCCGGAUGAUCGCUGCAUCGCAGCCCGAGCGCGACAGCCCCCAGUAAUGGUCACUGCCUGUCAUUCUCAAUGUACCUUGUGAUCGCUAACGUUCAUGAGAACGAGGCACGGAAUUUAAAAAAGGAAUUAGUGAAAAAAAAAGUGAAAGGUCAAAGCAAGUCAUAAUGAGAAAGAGAGCAAAGCACUUAAUUGGGUAGUGCUGAUGGAAUAUAUCAUGCCAGAGACGAUCUGGUAGAUAUUUUUUGAUUCUGCCCUCUGCAUGAUUUAUUAAAGAAGGUCCAAGAGAAAAGUACUGCUUGUCUGUAGGUUUUCAUGCAGUAUUUUUCUUACUGCUUCCUUUGUGCAGCUUUGCACAGGGCAGCAUGUCGUAUCUCAUUUUGAACCCCUCGAUGCUGUCUGGUGGAGGGUACAUGUACACUUCAGUGGAGGUUUCUGGUGCAGUGCAUCUUGUGUUUGUAGCUGCAUUUUCCUGCUCUCCUUGUUCCCCCUCUUUACUGAUUGCUUAUUAGUGUUAGGACAUCACAAGUGCAGAACUGAAUUGUUGUUCUCGGCCACGUAACUCUUGGUUACUGAGAAACUGCUGCUCCUCUUCAUUCCAGGAUGUAACCAAGGAGUGUUUGGAAACACUGCUCGAGAAGCAGCUUGCAUUGCUGCUUCACUACACAUGUUCUGUGCAGAGAAGAGACCUUCAGUGAAUGUGGAUAUCAGCCUGGUACAUUUUACAGGCAACGGAAUCAUCCAUGUUUUCUGUUGCCCAGUAAAGUACACACAUGCUGUGGUGCCUGUAGUGUAGCUUUGGAUGUCACAAGAGAACUAAGAUAGGAGUUUUCUCACCUUUAUUGACAUAAUGCUUAACUUCUGACACAGGCAGAUGCCGGGAAAGUAAGACUUGGGACUGUAAUUCCUUUCUCAAUUCCUUCCAUUUUUUUGUGAGGAAAGGAGAAGAAAGAUUUAUUUCUUCAAGCAAGAUAAUGUGUUAACAGAUCAUAAGUUACUUUUUAAUUUUCAUUUUAAAAUAUGUUUUUCUGAAAGGCUAUUCAUAGGUAUGUACUUCUUUUGUAAUUAGAAGCUAUAGUUUUUUUUUCAAGAAUUUAUAAUAAAUUACAUAUAUCUGGAGAAUUCGUGAGGCUUACUACUUAGAUCUGAUUGUAGUAAACAAUUUGGUGUCUGUACCUAGCCAAUCUAACCGUGUUGGUUUAGGUAUUUUGUCCAUUUUAUGAGUUUUCAUUCAUUUUUCAAGUCUGCAAACAGUAUUUAUUGGAAGUGGAGAAAGAAUUGCUGAAACCUUGCUAAGUCCAAAAGCACAGCAAUGCCUUAUAGGCAUAUUCUAAACACCCAUGUCUGUAAGUUAUCUUCAUCUUUGUCGGUGUGAAUAUGCAGCGUGUGUUAAUGUGAACAUUUAUGGUGCAAAAGAUUACAUAUUUUCUUCUUCAGUGUCAUACUUUAUUAUAAGAAAAUAAUACUUCGGGGUGAAAGAGUAACCAAUCUGUAGUUCAUUAUGUGUGAGUAUAGUUUUAGGAUUGCUUUCUGACCAGUAGACUCAGUUUUGAGAAGCAAUUGCAUGCUAAUGUGAGAGUGAGCUGACAGCAAACAAUAUAUUUCAGCUUCCAUUAAUUUUUUCUAACUGUGCCUAAUGUUUGCAUUUCAUUAAAAGUAGGAACAUACUGCGCAUGAAAAUGAAGGUCUUAAUUGAUGGCACUGGGGAUUACUGUCUAGCCUAGUAAAUAUACAGUUUGGACAAGAACUAUGUGUACUUUCUUACAAUUCUCUCUUUAUGUAGAAACUGUAUUGAUUUGUGUCUUUAGUUCCCAAUCCAUCCCCUACCAAGAUUUUAAGGGCUGGCUCUCCAGUGUAUUGCUGUCUGCACCAGCUAUUUCCAUCAUUGUCAGAGCCAUGUACUUAAAUAUCUCUUAUAUAAUUUACAUUUUCAGAUUUCACAAAGGCUUCUAGGCUUCUAAUUCACCCAGAAAGGCUUUGCCUUUGCUUUAAAGAGGUUCUUGUAGGACUUGCAAGUUCUGUCAAAGUGUAUUUUCAGAACUUUGGUAUUCUAGUCUUAGCAAAGGAAAGACGUUGGAAAGUCUCUACUCAAAAGAAUCUUUGUGAAAGGUCUUGAAAGUUGUCACAUUCAUAAGUAGUUCGGCCUCCUCUUAACAGCUGCUCCCCAGUGCCUUCUGCUCUAGAAGAAGUGCUUUUCAUUUUGAAGAGUUCUGGCAUUCUCCCGUGUGGUCCCCAAGAUCCCUCCAUCUCAACUGUGAGCAAAAAGGUGAUACGUGUUGAAUGUGCCUUGUGGACUUCAGAAUCUAGACCGUGGCCUUACCCUUGCUGAAUAAGAGGGUUAAGAACCUGUGAAGGAAUCUCAGCAAAAGGGUCCAGAGACAAUUAAACAGAGGACUCCAAACUUAUUCCAUGCAGGACCUCAGACAGUAUGGCUUUUGAAUGCUACCAAUCUGUAGCAGGCAAAACCUUAGUUUUGAACUAAUUCAUUAGACAUGCAUUUCAUUUGGUUCCUUGUGUUAUGAUUUAUUUGUGUUCAAGGUGUAGCUACUUUGUGAUCAUUCUUUUCUAUUCACGUGGUGAUUUAGGGCUUUUGUUUCCAAACACCCAUUUUCCAAGAUUACAGUUAGCAGACAACAACAACAAAAUGUUUAAAUAAAUUAUUCACCUGGAAAAUUCCGGUAGUUUUUUAAAACGUAAAUGAGGUGAUGUAAGUUACGUGAUUAAGUGCAAUCAUUAGGGAAAGACUGAUUAAAUUACUCCAAAUAAAUCUCCAAAAGAAUGAGUUGUGUGAUGCUGUAUUUUGCUGUAUUUUCCUGUUGAAGACAGCUAGCCAUUUUCAGCAGCAUCCUUUUAUGGUAAAGGUGCUACAGAUAAUUUCUUUGGGAGGGAAGGCUUUUUUUUUUUUUUUUUUUUUCUUCCCCCCAAGCCUUUAAUGAACGUGAAAUGGAAUUGGGAAGUAAAAUUUAAGCAGGUCAAUGGAAGGAUUCUAACACUGAAAAACGUCUAUUUUAAGGAAUCUCCUUUAUAAUGAUCUGAAUGUGAAGAGUUGGUGGUUAUCUACUCCUUAAAAGUUUUAAGUGUACUUUUAAAGCUGUCCACCAAAUCCAGAUAAUGCUUUCUAUUUCUUUUAUACUCAUGUCUUUCUGGUAGCGCAGAUAUGUACUCGAAUUCUAGCACUAAUAUUCAUAGCAGUUCAUGCUAAUAACAGAGAGUCCUCUGUGUCUGCUUUCUAGCAGAAUUCCCCAGGCAGACUUGUUCUGAAGCCCGUAUUGGUUAGGGCAGAAGUGCUGUGAGUUGUGCUGGGUGUUAGGCUGUAUUGGAAGAGCUCACAGGCAGUCGGUGCUGUUCAAACCGCGUUCCCGUCUGUCCGUGCCAGGAUGUAUAUUCUUCACCUGCUGUCCUUCAGCCAGUGACUGCACUUGUUUUCAGCAGCCCCCAGCUGAAUUCACAUAGGUCUGUAAGCUACAGAAAGCCUGGAGUGGGGCCUUGUGGAGCACCUAUGAGUACACCUAAAUAUACUUUCUCUUCUUGUGGCUGCUUCUGUUUGCCAACUUAUGUUUGCCUGCUCAGAAGCAGUGUAAAUAGGAGAUAUGGCGUAUUACCAUUGUGCCAUUGGAAGUAUACCCUUUGCAAGUAUAUAUAUUUUUUUCUUGUUUUCGACCAUGGAGUUCGCUCUUCUGACCUUAAGUUUGUUAUUAAAUACCAAAUGCAGAGUGUAGGAGACACUGACUUGCUUAGUUGGCAGAAAACGCAGAAGUAUUUGGUGCUGGAGUGCUGUGUGAUGUUGUGGCUGGCCAAUGAAGCGUAAUAAAUGCAAGAGCCAAGCCACUUUGGAGGUAUGAAGAGUCAGAGAAGCAUUAGAGUAAUUUAAAAAAUGUAAACUGUGGGUAAAAUCUAACAACAUCAUUUCUUUAAAGUUCUUUGUUAUUUACCAGACUUCCCUCCUGAAAACCUCCUACCCUAGAAUGAGAUGCAGUUUGCAGAGCAGGAGGAAGAUUGGUUUCUGUCUGGGGACACUCGGUUUAAAAAGACAGAACUCCGACUUUAUCUCUGAUGCGACUCGAGACCACUGUGGUUGUGUCUGUAUGAGUGUGCUCUGGGUGUAUUUUUGGGUAUCCUGUAAGUCAUUUUAUUCACACUUUCAAAAUGAGGGGACCCCAGUUAAUCUGCCUUAUAUAUCAAAGCUGGUUUUAUAGCUUUACAUAUAUUGCACUGUAGGGCUAGUCAAUAAAAUUUAAAAAUGAAUUUCUUAAUUCUUGCCCUCAUUUCACUCAAGGAGAUACAUGGUCCAAGCAAUUUUUCAUUUAUUUAGUGCUGCAGAUUUUAAGAUUUCCUGAACCAACUUGUUUCCAUCAGUUAUGGUUUUGCCAUUAGUUUUAGUAGGAAAAAGCUUUCCUAGCUUUUAAGCUGGAAAGUUGGUUUGUUUUUUCGCCAUCUACCUUUUCAGAGGAAACAGUGGUGCCAGUACAAUCUCAUUGUCCGUAUCUGCAUUUAUCAAAAUAUUGAACAACAGGCCCACCUAUCAAGUGAUUUUACAUAAUUAAAUUAUUACAAAUAACAUGACUGUAGUCACCGAUAGGAAAGUAAUUCUUUUUAAGAUCCUUUGAUGUCAAGAAAAUAGUUCAUGCAGGAGCUCCAAUGCUGCACCUUUUAAGCUGGAGAUUUUCAAUUAGAAAAAGGAAAAAAAAAAGGUUGAGCCCAGCUGCUAAUGCACUGGUGAAAGGUGAAAGGUAUUACCUGCUUGUUGAACACCUGGCAAAUGGAAAAGCUGUCCACCAGACAGUUACACUUUAUGCAUUGACAAUGAAAAUUUGUUGUCACUACCUUGAUUGCCUUCAUAGCGUGCCUGAAAUCUGUCCUGUAGCAGUGGCCAGAACAGUUUGGAGACAGCAGGGAUAUUUUCCUUGCCACUGUGAGUAGAAGAAUGACUUCUGUGAGCCUGAGAGGAACAUGGGUGCUGCUAACUCUAUGUCAAAGCACGUACAUGCGUUAGUAAAGCUUGAAGUAAACCUCUGAGUACGAUGAACAAUAUCUGGAUGUGUUAUGUUUUCAGGUGGGACCCUCUCCUGAUAUGUGACCUACCGCAAGCUACCCUGAAUCGUAUGAUGACAAUGUUAUCGCUGCCACAUCUCUGGAAACCAGUUACUCAUAAAUAUAUGGUAUGUGAACUUCUGCAUCUUACAUUAAGCACUGCUAGUUGGAGCAGCACAGUAACAAUAAUAUGAAGGUGCUAAAAGCUAUUGAAGUAAAUGUUAAGCCACAUGUAUAAUAAAUUACCGUCAGCCAUUCCAGCAGAUGUUUAUCUGCUAGGCCUGGUCCAUAUGCAGAAUGGUGAACUGUUUUAACUGCAAAUACAAUCUUGAAAACGCAUUCAUUUACAGAUGUUGUUAGAAACCUACCGAUGUUUUUUUUGGAUGGAGUUAUACCGGUAUAACCAUGAUGUGCAGAUAUGCAGCCUGCUAUUCUCCUCCUCGAGCAGGAAGCGGUGGUGGUAUUGGCAUGAAGGGUUCUGUGCCUUAACUGUAUUGUUGCAUUUAAAGCACUACUAUUUUUGUGUUUAGGAAAGGCCUUUAAUUGCUUUUCUCCUUCAUUCCAUUUUCAGUUUCUGGUCAAUCUAAAUUAGAUUAAUUUCACACACAGUGACUCCCUAAAGAAGUGCAAAUUAACUCAAUUUUACCAAAUUCAGCCAGAUGAUGGCAGUUAUUCCCUUGCUGUUUAGCUGUACAUUAUACAGUCUUUGAAUAAGAUUUCUAUAGGAAUUAAAUCCAUAUAUUGAAUCUUUUUUCCUUAGCCUGUAAGACUAAGACCCUCACCUUGUGAAAGGAGGUUAUUUAAUUUCUAGCCUGCAAGGCAAAACUAGCCUGCUACCUGGCAUGUCUUUCUUUCUUACUCUUCUGAUUCAGGGACUGUAAAACCACAAGCAAACUGGCUUUAUGAGAACUGCUACAUGAUUGCUUUGUAUUCUGGAGUAGUUUUGUAGCAUACCACGUAACCAUUAGCAUGGAGCAUCUUCUGAUUUAUGGUUCCAGUCCAGCUCCCACUGAAGCUGGUAGGAAAAUGUUUCUUCAUGCUGAUGGGAGUUGAAUUGCACCGCAUGUGCCAUCUGAGACUUUUAAGUAAUGUUCCCUGUGGGAAAUUUUUUUUUUACUGAUAGCCACUUUUUUGAGAUCGAGUGUUAAAGAUAUAAGCAUAGAACAAAAUUACAAGGAAAGGAUUGUUGAAAUAACAUAGGAAAGGGCUCAGUGGAAGUCCGUGUGCAGAUUCAAGAGUUGUAAAUGGGUGAGGAGAGAUGACUGUUUGCCACAAAAGCGUUUAUCUGGAUUCUGUGUGCUGCAUUUUUACAUAUAAUUUGGGGGGUGUUUGUCAGAUGUGUGGCUGAUUUACUGUUAAUGUCAGUGAUGUAAGAGACAGAAAGUACAACAGAAGUCUUAGAGGGAGUAGGGAGAGGAAAUUCAUGCUUCAUUAAACAAUUUGAUGUAUUUUGGGAGAGCCAUUCACAACUCAGAUAAUUUCUGAAUGUUCUGAUUAAUGAAGAAGUGACCAGAUCUGGCUCACUCUGGUUCUGCUUGAAGGGAACAUCCUGGAGAUUAGGUGGGAGAGCAUUGACCCUGCUUACACUGAAAGGACUGCUAGUGUGUCUGUGUGGCCACCCAUGCAUGCCAAGUACAAUUAACACCAUAGUUUACAGAUUUUUUUCUACACAUUUGUUCUGACAUCUCCUGUAUCAGCCAUAUCUAAGAACCUUUUUAAGAUGAGCACAGGAAUAAUGAUUUCUGUUGCUCUUGUUUCUUCUGAGUUGAUUCAUUUUUUAGCACUCAAAAUUGCCAGUGGAUAUAUAUAUAUUUUGUAAAUAAGUCAUUUUGGUGUUUGUGGGCAUGUUUGUAAAGUAAAACUGGUUUGAAGAAAUAGAGUUUUGCAUUCUGUAUGGGCAGAGGUCUGGAGAGGAGCUGGUAGGCCAACUAGACUAGCUUCCUUUUGCCACCUUUUCCAAAGGUACCUUUUCCAAAGUAGAAUGGUUGUGUUUUGGUUGAUAUUUUCAGGAUUUUUUUAGGUGGAAGGUGGCAUAUCACUGGAAGAAGGGCCCUCUGAGGGGAAGGCUGAUGGGGAGGUGUGGUUGCUAAAGUGGUGACUGUUUGCAGAUCUAUGUGUUUGCUGGGGACGGAGAGGAAGCAGACACCUCUCUGCUCUGCUUCUGAUGAGCUGAGAACAAGGUGUGCUAUGUCUCGCACCUCAAGAGAACUUAUUAUAUGAGGUAAUUACCUCUACCCAAAUCAAAAUGAAAUUUCAUUUGUUGAAUGUAGGAAUCAGAAUGAAGGGUUUUUUUUGUUUUGUUUUUCCUUUUGUGUGUUUUGGUUUUCAUCUUUGGCUAAUUCUCAUACAGCGUUGCAACAGGAAACUAAUCUUCAGGAGCACAGCCCGUAAAAGAUAGGCCUUCUGAGGGACUGGACUCUGCUUAUUGCAGAGACCUUCCAAGACAGGUACAUUGUAAAAGAUUACAGACCUUCACAGGAAAUUAAAUUGGAUGUGAUGUAGUAAAAGAGUGAGAAAAUGGAAAGGACAUAUGUAGCACAUUUAUGAUGAUUAAGUGGUAAGAAAAUGAAAACAUACGAUGCAGUGAAGUGUAUGUAAUUUAGAUAUUGAUACACACUUUCUAGUAUUUUAAAUAAUCUGCCCCUCCUCUUCCCUUUGCUCUCUCUGUGUCAUUAUCUCAGUGUGGAAAAUCAUUAGCAUCUUGUAAAAUCAUGUUGAUUUGGGGCAUAUUAGGUUAUAAAGUGUUCUAAAACAAGUCUCAGUAGUAAUGUGGAGUGCUCUCCAUUGCAUCAUCCAGAGGAAGGUGUGUGGGGAGCCAAACUGGGAGUGCUGGGCAAGAGCUGCGCUCUUGGCUGGUGGCUCACAACGUGGUGAUAUGGUGCUGGUGGGACAAAACUCCCAGUCUGUCUCCUCCUCAGUGUCAGCUCAACUGCAUGGGUGAGCUGGGCUCAUUCCUGUCCAGGUGCCUGUGGGCAGAGCACAGGUUUCCCUAUCAGGGAAUUCUUUCAAAGGGGACAGUAAUAACUUCCAACAUUUUAAUAACUUUUCUUAUAAGAUCUGGUUACCUGAAAUUGGAAAGGAUAAGCAGAACUCUGAGAGAUUUAACUUUAUUAAACAUCAUAAAUCCUUUCCCUUUUGACCCUAAUCAGUCCCCAGAGUCUUUUUAAUGCUCUUGACAUUGCACCGGCCUUUCAUCAUUGCACAAUAUACGUUUUCCUGUUACAAGGAAACCGGUGGUGAGAGCCCCACUUAAACCAGAGGUGAAGGCAGCAGCAGUAGGUUGGGCAGAAACUCACUGCCAGCAAAGGGAAGGAGGGAGCUGCACUUUGGCAGUACUCCUCAGCAUGUUCCUUCCAUCUGUGGAGAGGAGUGGAGGGGACCCGAGGGUGCCGGAGAAACCUCUCCCUGCAGUUUGCGAGAGCACUACAGACAACACAACAGUGCUUUUGUGCCUUGUGCUGGCACGGGGGCUAAACCUGCCUCAGAAAGCCUCCUUAUGAUUAGGCACUGCCCCACGUCCCCGGGGGUAGCAAGCAGCAGGAAGCACUCGCUGCAGGCCGGCCAGCUCAGCCCCAGGAGCUGUGGACAAGAAAGAGGUGGCUUAUGGCACCGGGAUGUGGGGACUGCCGGGCGGAGGUAUGGUGAAUGGGGCCCUUCUUCGCUGGGAAGGAGCCUUACCAGGUGGUCGAGGGAUGAGGAAUGAGAAACAAAGGCCUUCUUCAUAAAGCAGCUACCUGGGUUUCUGCCUUCCUGUCCAAGGCGCGCACAAAUCCUCCGGAAAGCGAAGGGGGAAUUCCCGGGCUGGUAGUCUGUCCUUCCUUGUGCUGUCCAGGAAUUCAUGUGAUGGGGAAGGCAUCCAAAGAAUCUGUCCCUAUGUGUAGGGAAGCUAAGUUCCCUCUUUUUCUUCCCUAUGUGCGAGUCAGCAAGUUUCUUCUGCAAAUGCCUUAAUUUUAAGCUUAAUGCUAUGCAAAUAUUUGGCUUUGGAGGUAAAAGCCUCAGGCUGGCUUCAGCUCACGGACUGGCUUCCAGCUGUUUCUACAGGUACUGAUCCAAUGUUUAUAUACACAAAUUGCUAUUUAUUUAUUUAUUGUGGUAACCUUUUAAAAGAAACUUGGAUAUUUGCCUAGCCUGUUUUUGCUUCAUACUUGAAAAUUGAUGUAUUUGCAAUGUGCGUACAGCCAUUUUCAGAAGCUUUGGCAAAACCCUCAGAUCUGCUGAAGAUAAUUGUGGUAGGCUGAAUCCUUAGAUAGCACAGAGUUGUACUGACUGAUUUUUCCCGUAAAGAAGUGCCCAACACUUUGCUUACCCCUGGAAGCCCACCAACCUCGACUAGGAAACAAAGGUGUAGGAAGAGCUGGCGCAUGCUGCAGGAGCUUUGUGCUGUAAUUUGGUUGUCUGGACAAGCAGUCACGGGGCAAGAGAACAUUCAGAAUGAGUGUCAAGAGUGCUAGCAAUACAUACGUUAACUAGGUUUCCAAAAUCUACUAAAAUGCUACCUUGAUGUAGAGCACAGUGUUCUAUCCACAUGUAUUUCACUUUCUCCAGCUCUCGUCUCAGCUCCUGCUUGCCUGCAAUCAGCCUCUUAUUAAAAGGGGAAAGUCCAUCGCCUUGUGGACCUUCUGCAAUGUGCUCAGCGUGUGAGCUAUUGACUUCAUAAAGACAAGAAUAGCUAUCUCAAAUGUGUUUCAUUUGCAUGUGGCAAGAUAGAAAAAGCAAACUCUGUGUGAAGACGAGCAGAUGAGAAAGACACUGAAUGCCUUAAAUGCUAAGGGAGUUAAUGCUAUGCAGUGAUUUUUGCUUCUGUUAUAGGAAGUGUAAGAACAGUACGCUUCCUAGCGUACAUCACCAUCUAAACUGCAAAGAUUUCAGUUCCAUGGCAACACGAGGAGCCCCAUGGUGCUUAAGGUGUACGUAUUAAUGCAUUCAGAGUUAGGGGCUGUUACUGAGAUGGUAAGAAUAAAACAUUCGGAAUAUCUCCCAUUUACUUAUUGAAGGCUUUGUUUAUAGAAAAUCAUCCACCCCCCCCGUAUUGUCUCCAGUCCUUUCUAUGUGUGUUUUUUUCUCAGACAAAAAGCAAAUGAAGCGAUUGUUAACUGGUGGUAUUUUUUCCAUAAGACUGUUCAGUGCAGCAGCACUUGAAAGUUGCAAGAAAAUGCUGUUGAUUUUUGGUACUGUUGUGUAUCUCUGGAGAGGAGGACUUGGUAGCAGGGGGGAUUAUUUCUUCCCCAAGAUGUACUGCUUUAUAGACCAGAGUGAAGCAGUAUUUGGGGUUUUUUUUACCAUUGUUUUCCUUAUUCUUUUUGAUCAGCCCUCUUUCUGCCUUUCUUUACAUCGACAUCCAGUUUCUCCAGUCUGAGGAGCAGGAAAUACGACUGAGCUCUGUUUCCUGGCAUCCAAAGAAAUAUACAAGUGCAAGGAAACAGAGUAUUUUGUUUCUGCCAGUUGCUUGGGUUUGCAAUGUGUCCCCAGUAAUGCACCUGGACAGAGCCUGAGUCCCCCUCUAGAGCAAGUGGGUGAGGGGCCAGGGAAGAACCCAGGCGAGCAGCAGGGCUAAGCUGGCACAGGAAGACUGACAGAAAUGGGCAAGUUGAACUGGUUUUACAGCUGUUUUGCAUUGCUGAAACAGGCAAAGCAGCCAGAGUUAUCGGUGGGUCUGGCCUGUAGAUUUCGUCGAGAUUUCUCUGUGUGACUGCAGAGAGAGCACAGCGCUGCAUUUGGAGGCUGGUUGGCUGUUUCCUGUUGCUGUGCCAGGAGGAAUAAAUUCAUCUCUCUGUUAUCUCUAUCUGUAUCUCUUUCUUUCUUUUUUUUUUCAUUUGCUCACAACAGGAAUUUUUUUUAUUAAAAAUAAGGCUGUCAUUCACUGAAGGGGGAGGUUUUGCCUUCAGGAGUGCAGCACAACCCAAGUAAAUCCUUUCUGAGGACAUAAGGAGGAAUGAAAUGAUUAAGUGACACUGCACUGGCACUCUGCAGAGGGCCGAUUUCCACCCUUGGGCAGCAGAACCACAAAGCAAGGAGGUGUUGCAUGUACACAGCAUCUUCUAGGAGAGCUCAGCACUGGGAGCCCCGGCCAUGUGCUGAUGUUGCUUGUCCUUGUAGUUCUUGCUUAAAAAAAACCCACACAGGUGGAGCUCACUGACUAUGUGGCUGUACAAUUAAUGCAUGCUUGUCAAAUGACAUGGGGCCUCAAAUGAAGAGCAUUGUUCAUUCAUGGGCAUCUGUGCGUCAGUGUCCAACCCAGUGCAGCCUCUGGGUAGGCCAGAUGCUUUGGGGAGCACCUCAGUCAGUGUGGCAGGAAGGAUGGAGAGAAAGCACUGAGAAACUUCAAAGAAAGAAAAAAGGGAGGAGAGAAAUCAAGGGCAGGAAGAGAGAUGAGUGAGGAAACAGCAAAGGCGAAAGGGCCAGCGGAGAACAACAGGGGGCUGGGAAGAACACAGGGCAGGAAGGAGAGAAUGCUUUGGUGUGCUUGAGAAAAAAGUCAUUUUCAGAUGAAACGCAGACAAAAAGGAACAAGAAAAUUACAGAAUGUGAAGUGGGAGAGGAUAUCAGAGUUGCAAAGGAGGAGGAUUCAAACUGAUACAAACAGAAAAUAUGUAUAACGUGUAUGGAUUGAUUUGAUGUGUUGGCCCAGCCAAUUUUAAGUAGCGACUGGUAAGUCUGUAGCAGGAAAGGGCUGUGCCAUUCUUCAUGAGGAAGCUUUGGGCUGGUAGGGAGCAGCAGGGCCAUGUGGGGAGACUGCUGCAGGUCCCAUGGCUGGAGCUGGAAGCGUAUCACUCCAUCUGCAAUGUUUGCUUCUUUCUGUCUCUCUCUGCAGGGCCUGGACUGCUGCCAUCUCCCUCCUUGGAGAGCAGGGUAGUGGAGCACCUGCCACCAAGGAGAAAAACUGCCUAUCUUGCCUUCAAAGGCUGGUGGCCAGAAAGAUGUGUCUGGUUGUCUUCUCGUUUACCUGUGCUGCUGUUAGGCAGGCAGGUAUAAGGUCUCUGUCUAUAUCCCUCUUGUGCAAGCUAUCUAGGCUACCAGAAAUAAACAGCUGAAUGGAAAUUUUACUUCUGGCUGUGAAAAGUGGCUUUUGAAUGAAGUCUACUUCAAAUAACAAAUGCCUUCUUUCCUCCUCCUCCUCUCCACCUACUUUGUUCCUAACCAUUAACUUUUCAUGUCACUUGAGCUAAGUUCAGUGUCAGACUCACCAGAUCCUACUGAAAAACACAUCUCUCUUUUGUGGCAAGCUGAAGAAGAUGAGAGGCUUGUGGUGUUUUUCCUUCUCAAUCUUUGCUCCUCUGGGAAAAGCAGCUAAGGCUCGGCCUGGCCUGCUCAGUGCCAUCAUCUGCCAGGGGAGGUUUUCUCAGCUUGUGGUGGCUUCCAUCGUGGUAGAAGGCUGCAGAAGAUUGCUGUGGAAUAAGUCAUCAUCACCACUAGCUAUGCCAUUUGAAAAUCAUUACUUAAGCAUGAAAGAGAAGAAAAAGAUGAAACAUUAGGAGAUUUAAACCCUACCCAAAGCUCCAAAUAAUUUCUGCCAUUUCUGCUUUCUGUUUCCUAAUCAUAGGCUGCUUCUGCCAUGAGAGGAAAUGGCAGUCACUGGACAGUGGCGCUUGAAAUAUUCUGCGGCGUGCACUAAUACUUAUGGUAAAGAUGGAUGUAUUUAUGGGAAACAAAUGGAGAUCUGAGCUUUCCUGGGGACCUUAAUGGUAUUUUCUGUUAUAACUUGCGUGCUAAUACUUGCUUAUUUUGAUCGGUGCUGAAAAACAGGAUCAGAAAAUAGAAUGUGGACUUUGGGUGCUGUCACACAAUGAUGAGUCAGCUGAAAUUGAAGCCAGUUCAAGGUUUAAGUAUGAUCGUUGAUGUUCUUGAAAAACAAAAUCUCUCAACCAGUCAGCAGCUGAGUUUACUUCUCAGCUGUUAGACAAAAGCCACCCUUUGCAGGGAUGCUGUGUGACAGAAGGAACUCUUUCCUUUUCCCUCACCUUGGCCAUUAGUCCAACAGUUAGGAAUCAGAUUUAACCCUUGGUGUUCGUUGCAGGCUUUGUGAGUCUUUUCCAGCAUUGAAACAAGUAUUUUUGAUAGACAC
ensembl:lncRNA